GACGAACGCUGGCGGCGUGCUUAACACAUGCAAGUCGAACGGUGAAGCGCCUUCCUUUUUGGUGGGUGUGGAUGAGUGGCGAACGGGUGAGUAACACGUGAGUAACCUGCCCCCUUCUUCUGGAUAACCGCAUGAAAGUGUGGCUAAUACGGGAUAUUCUGGGUCUGUCGCAUGAUGGGUCUGGGAAAGAUAUUGUUUCGGUGGGGGAUGGGCUCGCGGCCUAUCAGCUUGUUGGUGGGGUGAUGGCCUACCAAGGCGGUGACGGGUAGCCGGCCUGAGAGGGUGGAGGGUUACACUGGGACGGGGACACGGCCCAGACUCCUACGGAGGCAGCAGUGGGGAAUAUUGCACAAUGGGCGCAAGCCUGAUGCAGCGACGCCGCGUGAGGGAUGGAGGCCUUCGGGUCGUGAACCUCUUUCGCCAGUGAAGCAGGCCUGCCUCGUUUGUGGGUGGGUUGACGGUAGCUGGAUAAGAAGCGCCGGCUAACUACGU
rnacentral:rRNA from 1 species